rnacentral:rRNA from 1 species
AACCUUUACAAUGCACGAAAGUGUGAUAAGGGAAUCCCAAGUGCUUUGCUUUUAGCAAGGCUUUUGCCAACUGUAAAUAGGUUGGCGAAUAAGUGGUGGGCAAGACUUGUGCCAGCCGCCGCGGUAACACCAGCGCCACGAGUGGCAACCGUUUUUAUUGGGCCUAAAGCGUCCGUAGCCUGUUCAGUAAAUUUUCUGUGAAAUCGUUGGGCUCAACUCAACGGCAUGCAGAAAACACUUCUGGACUAGGGACCGGGAGGCGUCAGAGGAAUUCCUGAGGGAGCGGUAAAAUGCAAUAAUCUCAGGAGGACCUCCUGUGGCGAAGGCGUUUGACGAGAACGGAUCCGACGGUGAGGGACGAAAGCCAGGGGAGCGAACCGG